rnacentral:rRNA from 1 species
GAUGAACGCUGGCGGCGUGCCUAAUACAUGCAAGUCGAGCGAACAGACGAGGAGCUUGCUCCUCUGACGUUAGCGGCGGACGGGUGAGUAACACGUGGAUAACCUACCUAUAAGACUGGGAUAACUUCGGGAAACCGGAGCUAAUACCGGAUAAUAUAUUGAACCGCAUGGUUCAAUAGUGAAAGACGGUUUUGCUGUCACUUAUAGAUGGAUCUGCGCCGCAUUAGCUAGUUGGUAAGGUAACAGCUUACCAAGGCAACGAUGCGUAGCCGACCUGAGAGGGUGAUCGGCCACACUGGAACUGAGACACGGUCCAGACUCCUACGGGAGGCAGCAGUAGGGAAUCUUCCGCAAUGGGCGAAAGCCUGACGGAGCAACGCCGCGUGAGUGAUGAAGGUCUUCGGAUCGUAAAACUCUGUUAUUAGGGAAGAACAAAUGUGUAAGUAACUAUGCACGUCUUGACGGUACCUAAUCAGAAAGCCACGGCUAACUACGUG